AUUGAACGCUGGCGGCAGGCCUAACACAUGCAAGUCGAGCGGAUGAAGGGAGCUUGCUCCUGGAUUCAGCGGCGGACGAGUGAGUAAUGCCUAGGAAUCUGCCUGGUAGUGGGGGAUAACGUCCGGAAACGGGCGCUAAUACCGCAUACGUCCUGAAGGAGAAAGUGGGGGUUCUUCGGACCUCACGCUAUCAGAUGAGCCUAGGUCGGAUUAGCUAGUUGGUGGGGUAAAGGCCUACCAAGGCGACGAUCCGUAACUGGUCUGAGAGGAUGAUCAGUCACACUGGAACUGAGACACGGUCCAGACUCCUACGGGAGGCAGCAGUGGGGAAUAUUGGACAAUGGGCGAAAUCCUGAUCCAGCCAUGCCGCGUGUUUGAAGAAGGUCUUCGGAUUUUAAAGCACUUUGAGUUGGGAGGAAGGGCAGUAAGUUAAUACCUUGCUGUUUUGACGUUACCUACAGAAUAAGCACCGGCUAACCUCGUG
rnacentral:rRNA from 1 species